CAAAAUAUGCUGUAGCUUUUCCGUGGAAGCAUGCUUUCUGUUCUCUUGUAAAAAAAAACAAACAAAAAAACUAAACAUUUCAUCCACUUCCAAACCAUUUGGUUUAUACUUUUGCAUGUUUCAGGUGUCAUGGAUUGGUGGGGACGGAUAGGAAUUUCAGAGCGUGAGCUAUGAUUAAGCUGGGUCAAGCCACAGUUGGAAGUCCAUGAUGAGCAAUAAGCAGAUACAGAGCUUCAUCAACCCUCUAGUUCAAAGAAAGAUGGAAGGAACAAUGGGCACAGUAGUCAGUGAGGGACUCCCCAAAGCAGACAGCCUACCCCACUAUUCCCAAAACAAAGCUCUACCAAUCAGCAGGACCUACUUCUCUUAUUCUCACAGUGGACAAGAUGCCCUUGACUUUCCCUCUUCAUGGAGCCCUUCUAAGACCUGUGUAAGAAAUGGAUCGAGCCCAGGGAUUCACUCAUCUGCCAUUUACAGGCCUGAAAAUAUGUCUUUUACUGUGGAUGGUGGCAACUCUGCUGUACCGCAAGAUUUGGCAACAAAGCAAAGGUUGGCCUAUUAUGCCAGUAGUCCUAGACAACACAGUCCCAGAGCUGCUGGAGUCAUCUCUCCAGUGGCUGUUCCCAAGGGUCACAUUACAGGGUCAGGCAUAUCCUCUACAGCUACAGAAAACUGUGUUGGGUUGGCCAUUCCAAGACCUGUGUAUGGUCAUAGCCCCUGCUGUGCUGAGCGUGGAUGUACUGCAAGCCAUAACUAUGUUGUGGAACAUGGGCCACAAAGGAUGUCUCCUCGCAUGUAUGAAGAUGAAUGGGCUGCACAUUUCAGUCAUCUGGCUUACCUGCAUAAACAGGGCCAAGAGGCUUUGGCACAGCAGAGGGUGUUGCAUUUGGAGCAUGGUGCGGAGGGAGUACCUUUAAAGGAUGGAAAUGCAGAGGGUUACCAAGGGAUCAGAUCAGAUGAGCCCAGGAGGUCACUUCCUAUAAUGGAACCAUGUCAUAGAAGCUAUACCUAUAACACUACAUAUCCAUUCAUUGGUUCCACAUCAGAGUACUGCCAGCGUACACCAAUUCCCUCACAAAUAUACAAGGGUCUCCCCCCUGCCUAUGACCCAGGGAUAUUAACACACCAUGGUGUUCCUUUCAAGGUAUAUCAGGAUCGUUCUCGCAUUUCUAAAUACACACAGAUGCCUCCAUGUCCCAUCGCCUAUUACCCUCAGAAUGGCACUGAGGCUUACCGAGAUGAUACAGAUUUUAUUACAGGCAAGCAGACUCAGCAUGGUCACAUGGGUCAGAUUCAUUCUCCACAGCCUGAUUUGAACAAUAUGUCAAAUUCCUGCUCCACUGUUCCCCCAUGUCAUCCACUGAUCACAAACUUUCCCACUUAUCCAUAUGGAGUGCAUUUAAAUAGUAACCCAGCAUCCCUGCAUGAGAGGCCACAUCCACCUUUCACCACGCAUCAGUCAGAGCGACCUCUUGAUUUCUCUAUACGAAGGGUCCAGACACCUGACUUCCCUCGGGAGCUUUGUAGACAGUCUGGAACUUCUGGGGCUUUCAAACCCACACUGGCCCAUUACAGAUGUCUCAAUAACACUUCUGCUGAGAGUCCUAGCCGUGAGCUCUCAGAGAUGGCUGGAACUGGCUCACUUGUAGACAGUAGCAAAGAAUUUGGCAAUAUUUGCAAGUCUCAUGGGCAUUGUGUAGCCGAUUCACCCAACAGUGGCUCACUAUCUAAAAGACAAAGAGAGGAAUGUGGAAACGGUAGUGAAACUGACAUACCUAGGAAAAAACUAAAUACUAAAAGAACCCAUGAGCAGCCAGAUGAGCCUCAGUCACCAUCCUUCCCACCAAUGCCAGUAAUUAAUAAAGUGUUUAGCUUGGCUCCAUAUAAAAUCUAUUUUGAAGCUACAGGCAUUUUGCCUCCACCAGGCGACUCAAAAAGUCCAAAGCCACAGCCAGAAAUUCAAAACAGUGAUGAGUCAAAUUCAGUUGAAAAUAAGCUCAGCUUGAAACAAGAAACUCAAACGUCACCAGCUAACCGUAACGAUCCAGUUGAUAUUCCAGAGACUGUGAAGAUCAAAGAAGAAAAACUGGAUCCAGAUGAAUCUGAAAUGAAAGUGAGCAUCAUUGAGGAGGUGAAUCAUCAGGGUCACCAUUCUGUGGUCAAAGAAGAGCAAGGGAAGUUGAACUCAAGUAUGUCUGACUCUGUGCCUUGCCACAAUGUGAUAAAGAGUAACUCUGAAGAAGAAAGCUAUCCACCCUUAGUUAAAAUGCCAGAAUCUCCAACCCCAUGCAAGACAGAUCAAGUUGUAAAGGACAAUGUGGAAUCUGUUACAGUUCCUUUGCUGCCCUCAACAGCUGCAGUGGCACCUUCAUUUACCAAAUUCUCUCUCAGUAAAAUCCCCCCUCAUUGCCUAAAAUUGUCCAAUUAUAAGAUAGUCAUCCCUGAGGUCCUAAAAGCUCCAGAAACCCAAUCUGUCAAGAUUUCUCAGUCUCCUGUGGAGACAAGGCCUAUCAUAAGUAGCAGCAAACAUGCCCAUCAUCAGUUUAUGGAGCUUCACCAGUCCCUUUGUAGACUCUUAUACCACUGUGUUACUCAUACUCCAUGUCAAGAGCUUAAGGACUGGUUAUCCAAACAGGACCUUAGAGAAUCAGUCUCUCAUCCAAGCAAAACUCAGAGAGUCUCUGGCCUGCAAGGGUCCAAAAUGAGGGAGAUAUGGCUGAAAGGUGAAGAUGUGUUGAUGGCUCUUCAAAAGGUUGUUGGCCAGCUACAGAAGUACAUUGAAAGCCGUGAAUGUCCCUUUCCUCAUGUCAUGAGGGCAGGCGCGGUGUUUAUUCCCAUGUUGGUGGUGAAAGAGGUGCUGUUUCCUCAGGUUCAGGGCACAUUCAUAGACCAGGUCCUCCAGGAGCAUCGGGUGGAACUACGGCCCACCACUCUCUCAGAGGAGAGGCAACUGACUCAACUCCACCGGAAGGCUUAUUCUUCAAAACUCAGGAGGCUACUGUCCCUUAAACAUCUUCCAGAUAUCUACCCUGAUGUUGUCAACCUUCUCUACCAUGCCAAUGUCUGCAAGUUUCUUGAUUCCACUGCUACAGAUGGUGUCCAUAUAUUGCCCAGUGUUUGGAAAAAUUGCUUCUAAAGCCCUAGGUAUUCUUCCAGUUUGACGUGAAUGCUGCGUGGCUGUUUGCAUACUGGCGGUUGCCGCAUAAGCACUACAACUGCUAUGAGACACUGGACAUUCUCUAAAGGCAUUUAGACUCAUAAAUAUGUCUUUAUAUUCCUUCAGACUCGAGUUAUACAAAUGCAGGAGCAGAAACCAACUCACCGUUCAAGAGAGAGAGCACGGACAGCUCAGAUGAAUCUAGCAGUUGUAUAAAUGUAUCUGAAGGAUCUUCAAGACCACUUACACAAGAAACCACUACACGUGUGGAG